rnacentral:rRNA from 1 species
CGGUAACAUUUCUAGCUUGCUAGAAGAUGACGAGUGGCGGACGGGUGAGUAAUGCUUGGGAACUUGCCUUUGCGAGGGGGAUAACAGUUGGAAACGACUGCUAAUACCGCAUAAUGUCUUCGGACCAAACGGGGCUUCGGCUCCGGCGCAAAGAGAGGCCCAAGUGAGAUUAGCUAGUUGGUAAGGUAACGGCUUACCAAGGCGACGAUCUCUAGCUGUUCUGAGAGGAAGAUCAGCCACACUGGGACUGAGACACGGCCCAGACUCCUACGGGAGGCAGCAGUGGGGAAUAUUGCACAAUGGGGGAAACCCUGAUGCAGCCAUGCCGCGUGUGUGAAGAAGGCCUUCGGGUUGUAAAGCACUUUCAGUUGUGAGGAAAAGUUAGUAGUUAAUACCUGCUAGCCGUGACGUUAACAACAGAAGAAGCACCGGCUAACUCCGUGCCAGCAGCCGCGGUAAUACGGAGGGUGCGAGCGUUAAUCGGAAUUACUGGGCGUAAAGCGCACGCAGGCGGUUUGUUAAGCUAGAUGUGAAAGCCCCGGGCUCAACCCUGGG